rnacentral:rRNA from 1 species
AUGUGGGAUCAUACCAGCACUAAUGCGCUGGAUUCCAUUGGAACUCCAAAGUUAAGCGUACUUGGGCGAGAAUAGUACUAAAAUGGGUGUUGUCACAAGAU